UAUAUUCAUAUUUAAAAAUAAUACGGAUUGAGAAGGCAGAGAACCAACAGCUUCCAAUAACAAGCACUACACCUUUAGAAAUGUUGACAGAACGCAUACCUAACAUAUAAAAAUUUGACACAAUCUCCUGACAGAUCAAAUGCUAGGAUACCCAGAAAAUCAAGAACACAGACAACCCUAGAGAUUUGCUGGUACAAAUUAACAAAAUUGUGGAAAGUUACAGAAUUUUGGGAAGAAUUACCAAAUUAUCUCAGAUGGGUUACGAGGCCGCAACCAUCUACAUCAACAAUCGAGGCAGCAGCAGAAAAACAGAGAUCGAAAGAAUGAUUUUCCACCGAUUAGCAGGAGGUCCAGGUUGCUUUCACUGAGGAGAGAGAAAUAAUUGCAGGGUGGAAGAUGGUUAGGAAGACUAGGGGAAUAGAGGGUUAAAGGGCAUGGCGUGAUACUGGAUAGAGGGAAAGGGUAGAUCUGCAGGAGGAAGAGAGAAGGGAUGAAGGUAAACAGGGAAAAAAGGCAAGCAGGAGAGGCUCACAGAUGAGAGCAUUUCACAAACCACUUUGCCAGCUCAUUAAAUCUACAAGAACUUGGAAUGUCAAUGUAGCGGUGUUUCAAAUCAAAUAUGCAAUAUUAUGUGAUACAAGGGUAGCCGAUUGACCUGACACACGGUGUUUUCUUAUAUCCAAAUCUGUAGGACAAG
rnacentral:sRNA from 1 species